rnacentral:rRNA from 1 species
CUUUCUUGAUUCGGUGGGUGGUGGUGCAUGGCCGUUCUUAGUUGGUGGAGCGAUUUGUCUGGUUAAUUCCGAUAACGAACGAGACUCUAGCCUGCUAACUAGGCGAUUUCCGGUACCCACAAUAGUGUUACCGGCGAUUCAAUUUCUUCUUAGAGGGACAGGCGGCUCCUAG